CCCACUUUCUACACUCCCGGUCUCACACGAUCUACUCCAACUCCGUGCACCUUCUUAUGUUUUAUAGCAAUCGUUCCUCCACUUCUUCUCCUUGUCGUUCAACACCAAAUAAAAACCUUUUUUUAUCUGUCAAUUCAAUGUUUUUAGGGAGUUCCUGCUUGAUCUGAUUUCCUUUUCCAAUAGAGUUUGAAUCGGAGGUCCAAUCAGUCAAUGUUUCUGUGAAAUCAGAAUUACAUAGUUCAGAUAAAUUUUAUGGUCAAAAUUAGAGGAAUCCUCAAUGAACAACGCGUUUUGCUAUUUGAUGGUGAAACUGAUGUUCGAUUAAUUUCAAGUGGCUUGGGUUUUUUCUGGCACCGUAAGCAUUGCUGGAAUAUGGGAGAUGCAUGCCUUUUCCCUUUUAUGUGAAAGUGAACCCAAGGAUUAUAAUGUCAAUUAAAUUCGGAGUUGACGUUAGAUUCUUGCGCUUAUAAGGCUGUAUAAAAAUCGAACUUCCCUUCAUGAGGUUACUCUCCUUCUUCCUGCUUGGUGAUUGAUUUCGAUAUCCUUUACCUAAUGUGAGUUUGAUUUGAUUUUGUCACAGCACCUAUGUAUAAUGUAUUAUACCUAUCUUGGCCUUUCCAUAUGAGAUUUUAAAGCUCUGCUUAAGUUGUAGUUCAGUUAUAUGUGGUUGAUUUGCAGGUAACGUUUUUCCUCCUCCGAUAAGAGAUCAACUAUCAUUGUAGCUUCAGUCUGAAGUAUUGUCCUGAUAUUUAAGUCGCAUGAUUACGUUUUCUCCUUCAUGCCUUUCAUCCACUUAUGAUACACAAUUUAUUAUCUGAAAACUUGGACACAUGAUACCAAAUCAAGGGAAAAUGAUGCAAGUUUCAUAGACUCUAAACCCAUUUCUUACAUAUUGAGUUUUUUUUAAUGGGAUGAACUGCUAUGGUUCGUCAACUAAUUCUGUAACUUCUUAAUGAAACAGAAAGUUAGUUUGGCACAAUAUUUUGCUCUAUUUUUUCUAGGGCCACCGUUGUUGGCUUAGGAAAACAACUGUAAGGCGAUGCUUACUGCUACAUAAAGUGUGUAGACAGACUCAAUAUGCGACUGUAGUUGAUCGAGACUUCUAAAUCAGAAGAUUAGAAUGUAAGGUCGAUCAGUUCUUCCUGAAUUGUGGUAUCACUACAUUGCAUCUCAGGAACAUCCAGACUUUAAGCCUUGUGAAAAAUUGGAAAAACCAUCGAGUUUUGUAGCUCGGGCUCAGUAUCUACCUAGAAGCAAAAUUACUUUGAGGAAAAUGUAGUUGUUGUCCCAGGUAUCCUUUCUAGAGUUUCUCUGCCAAUUUCUUUUUGGUCUUUCACUUUUUAUGAGUUUCUCCAUUUCUUUCUGUGAGGACACAAGUCAAGGAGCUUGGAUAGGCCUUGCCAAAAAUAUCUUGUGGGUCCCUUUAACUUUGUUUACACAAAUGCUUUGCUUUACGAUGUAGGACGCUAGAUUUUCUGCACAUUGGUUGCUUUAAAUAAUAUUUGCUGAAGGUGAUUUUUAGAUAGAAGGAUCGCUGGAGUUACUUACACCUGCAUGCACGUUGGAGCUUCUAGGAAUGCCUCUCACACUUGAAAAUGCUGAAUGAAGAAGGGGAGUGAUCUCUGCUGCUGUGCCAAUUAAUCAUGCAAUACCCUGAUGUUGAAAGUUCUUGUAGAGUGCAAGACUGGUCAUGCUUCUUGAGCUACGCUCUGAUUAAACUCAUGGCUGCUGAAACUAUUGGUCUUCUUCCAUGGGAGAAAUAGUUGUUUUACGAAGAAAAAAAAACUUCCUUGAAUCACAGAAUCAAGGAGGUGUAAUCGAUUUCAAUUGUUUCUCCAUUGGCAUAAUUUCUAGUGUUGUUGUUGGAUUUCAAGCAACCGGACAGAUCUAGUAUGUACCUCUCUUGCAACUUUUGACCAGUGUAUAUAUUCUUAUGUUUUUCUUCUAGUUUGAAGACUACAUUUUUUUAUUUUGAUCUAACUGGUAUAUUAUAUAGAUUACUAAAGCAAAAACCAUAUGUGAAUCUCUGGUAGCAUAAGAGGGUAUUGAUUUGAAAUUUGAGGAGGCUCUUCAGUCAUCCCUUCUUGGAUAGGUAUGGUUUGUUCCCUCAUCUCUUGUUGUCAUUAGAAUCAUAUACUAUGAGCAAUUAAAAGCAGGGUUCAUAGGGUGGUGAAGACGUACCCUAUUAUAAUCCAAGAUUAAAUGGUUCUCAGUCAUUGGUAUAGAAAACUAAUUUCUAAAGAUAAAAAUAUAAAUAUAAAUUUGCCACGUACAUAAGAAAGCAAGCUUGGGGUGUUAGCAAUGGAAAGGUCAGUGGUUUCUUGGAUUUAAUUUAUCAGUCACAGCUUUGAAUUUCAUUUUUCUGACAAAGACAAUUAGGCCAGCUUGGAAGUGCUACCGGUGUCUACAGGACACUUGUGAAGCAUGUCGCAGGAGUGCCACGGAUAUAUCCUAAUUGAUUGUUUGGUUAUCUUAUUGCGAAUUAAGUUUAGUGUUUAUUUUAGAAAUCUUGGAUAACUGUUAAUCAUCAUAGGUUCAUUACAUCACUUAUUCAAUGUUCUCAAUAAAUGGACAUAAUUUGUCUGUUCCGUGAUGAAUCAUUGUUUUUGUUUUGAUUGUGGUCUAUGCCAUGAGGUCCGAAUUUUCUUAUUUCUCUCUUUAGUUGUGGGAGCUUAUAAGUCUACUGUAGGUAGGUAAUCUCUUUUACAACUUCUAGCUUACGUUGUUUCAGGCAUUGUGUCGCAGUUCUUGUAUUACAUGUUAUUGGGUGAUUUACGUUAUACUUUUUUUUUUGAGCAAGAACAAGGACUGGUAUUCAGUAGAAACUCCACGAAUACACGAUUGGUUGUUAUCGAAGUACUCAAGUCUGACGGUUAUGGAUCCAUGCACCAAUUGCGCCAACCAAAGAGUGCAUAAAGCUAAGCGACAUCCUAGCAGCAGAGUUUUGAGGAGAUCAGUGUGAGUGCGCACACGCAAUGGAAGUGCAAUUCUCCUUCCUAAACGUUGUUCGAGGCGGCCCUUCCUACUCUUUUAGGAGAAACCUCGUUUUCAUACUGAUUGUGUUCACUCUAGUAGAAUGUAUAUAUCAAGAUACAUGUAAACUAUAGUGAUUUUUCACCAUGUAAUCAUAUUCAAUGGCCUGCUUGGUAUAAUUUUAUCCAGAUAUUUCUUUCUGC